ACGGUAUAUAUUUGCAACAUUUAAUUUCCCCACUCACGGAAUACAAUCGACAAACUGGGAACAGAAUAUCAAAUUUCGUCUAGCUUUUGGCGACUUAUGAUACCCCUUUCACCGGCAAACACUGAAUUAUCGGACAACAUGAAAUCAGGGACUAAAUUCACCAGCAUUCAUGAUCCUCGGACCACCCGCCCCCUACGCACAGCCGAUUUAUAAAUGUUGCAUCUUUCAAUCAGUGUCAAUCCCAAGAAGAACCCUGAUCAGCUCCUGGAAAAAUCAGUGUUCUUGCAGUAUUGUCAGUCAAAUCUCAAGGAAAGGAUCCCAGAAGAGGAACAUUUACAUUAUUUCAGACUUUUUUCUUUCCUGUGUAACAAUGCCUCAAACAGCUAACACAUUUUAUAUAGUAUACAAUACAAUGUGUAUUAAUAACAGUCCAGUUAGAGUGCUAUGUUAUGCAGUAAAAAUACUUAAUUCUU